CAUACCCAUCUGUUUUAUUCCAGGAAGGCAGCGUUCUGGAAUAAACCUCAAGAACAUCACCAUGGAAUGUUUUCUUUAAGCUGACCAGUUUGCUGGAAUAACCUACUUAAAGUAAGCCAGAAGAUACUUCUGUUGUUUGCAGUUAAAGGCUCUGACUUACAGAAACCCAGAGUGGGCCACAAGCUGAAGGAUGAUGGUGUUAAGGGAAGAACAUGUAACAGAAUGAAGAGGAAUAGCAUGAUCCUUCAAACAUACCUGUUAAUGGAAAUUCUUUGAAUAAAUGAAC
rnacentral:lncRNA from 1 species